CGCUGCGGGAGGACACCGGAGAGCGCCGUUCACUGGGGGCGGCCCAGGCCCCCCAGCACAGCCCGAGCGUGGUCACCGCAACCUCUCAUGCCGCCCGCGGUCGCCCACUGCCCACUGCCCCAGCGGGAACCUGGGUAGGACCACAUGGAAGCUUACGUUCAGUUCCCAGUAAAACCUGGAAGCCUGAUGUGGUGGUGUGCACCUGUAAUCCUAGCAACUUGGGAGUACUAUGGCAGAAGGAUCGCAACAUGGACAACAUGCGAGAAGACCCUCACCAGAUGCCAGCACUUUGGUCUUGGAUUUCCC